CAUGCAAGUCGAACGGCAGCGCUGGAGCAUCCUGGCGGCGAGUGGCGAACGGGUGAGUAAUACAUCGGAACGUGUCCUGUAGUGGGGGAUAGCCCGGCGAAAGCCGGAUUAAUACCGCAUACGAUCUACGGAUGAAAGCGGGGGAUCGCAAGACCUCGCGCUAUAGGGGCGGCCGAUGGCGGAUUAGCUAGUUGGUGGGGUAAAGGCCCACCAAGGCGACGAUCCGUAGCUGGUCUGAGAGGACGACCAGCCACACUGGGACUGAGACACGGCCCAGACUCCUACGGGAGGCAGCAGUGGGGAAUUUUGGACAAUGGGCGCAAGCCUGAUCCAGCAAUGCCGCGUGUGUGAAGAAGGCCUUCGGGUUGUAAAGCACUUUUGUCCGGAAAGAAAUCCUCUGGGUUAAUACCCCGGGGGGAUGACGGUACCGGAAGAAUAAGCACCGGCUAACUACGUGCCAGCAGCCGCGGUAAUACGUAGGGUGCGAGCGUUAAUCGGAAUUACUGGGCGUAAAGCGUGCGCAGGCGGUGAUGUAAGACCGAUGUGAAAUCCCCGGGCUUAACCUGGGAACUGCAUUGGUGACUGCAUCGCUGGAGUAUGGCAGAGGGGGGUAGAAUCCACGUGUAGCAGUGAAAUGCGUAGAGAUGUGGAGGAAUACCGAUGGCGAAGGCAGCCCCCUGGGCCCAUACUGACGCUCAUGCA
rnacentral:rRNA from 1 species